rnacentral:rRNA from 1 species
ACGCUCGACACCUACGAGGCAGCAGUUGGGAAUAUUGGACAAUGGAGGAAACUCUGAUCCAGUGACGCCGCGUGAAGGAAGAAGGUCUUCGGAUUGUAAACUUAUUUUGUCAGGGAAGAAAAAUGACUGUACCUGAAGAAAAAGCACCGGCUAACUACGUGCCUGCAGCCGCGGUAAUCUGAGCGGGCUGGCAAGGC